ACUAGAGGGAGGAAGUGAGAUGUGAGGGGAAGGCUUUGGGUUGGGGUAUGGAGCACUUCGGGGCCGACCAGUACUGGGAGCGCUCUGGACCCGGAAUGCCUAAGCUCCCGCUACGGGUGUGUCUCAGGCUCUCAGUCUCGGAGCCUCGCACUUGGCGAGUCCGGAUUUCUCUUUCCUCCCUGAUCCUCUUUUCCCUCCCUCUCGGCUCCGCCCCCUUCCUCUCUUUUCCUCUCAGCUCCUCCUCCUGCUUCACUGCUCCUCCUUUUACCUUAUUCUCUAUGCACGUGCCCCGCCGUCUCGGCUUCGCCUUGUCCCCUCCCUCUCGGCUCCGCCCCGUCCUCCGUUUCUCCCUCCCAAUUGGCUACUCCUCUUAGCUCCUCCUUCGUCAUAGGUCCUCCUAUUCUCCCUCCCUCUCGGCUCCUUCCUCUCGCGCUUGGUAUCCGCUGCCUCUUUACCCCUUCCCCUCCUUAUUGUCCCCCUCAUGCCUUUCUAGGCUCACGCACUCUCUAAAUGUUUCUUAGAUACGUCCGCACUACAUUUCCAUCACCCCUCACUCCUGUGGUCUCACACUUUGACCUCCUUAAUUCUUGUUAAUUCACUUUGGUUUCCCCUGCGCAGUCUCUGCAAACAGCAAGUUAAUUUGUACCUCUCAGACUUGCGAGAAUAAAAUGAGACAACGUAUGACAAGCACUGACAAAAACACUUGGCACAUGUCAUCUGUAGCACUAUUUGUAAAUAGUCUGGACUCAGUGGAACCUGCUGUCUUAUGAAUAUAAUAUUUUUAACAAGACAGAAACAUGUUCAAAAGUUUGUGUAAAAUUUUAUGAUAUAGCAAGUGAAGAUCGAAAGAAAAGGCUGGAUUUUUUGAAGAAAGGAACACAGCUGAAUUAUCAACGUCACUGGGUUAACAGGAGCAUCUUCAAAGGCUGCCUUGGGAAUUAAGACAGCUCACCCCUCCAUGCCCAGCACAGUGGCUGCUGCUCUCAAUGAACACACAAUUCCUCUGUCAGAUAUUUUCUUUUCAGAUUCCAGUUUGAAUUCAACAGAAGUAAUACUUUCUACCUCUUCGACCACACUGAUAUUACCGUUACAUAUCCUGGGGAAAGUGAAACAAAUUGGGCUAUUGCAAGUUUGGUUACUGCUUGACUUGAUCUCAAAAGGUCCGUAUUAUAAAGGAUGUUCGAAUUGUUGAUGUCUGAGUGUUGGGAAAACCGCUCACAGGGACGAUGUAGCACCCGACAGAUUCCUUGCUAAUUGCCAGUGGGAAAAUAGAAAAACAAGAAAACAAACAUAUCAAGUGGGAUUCUAGAUGGGAUUACAUUUUGGAGUCUAUGCCUCAUCCCCACAUCCAGUGGCUUAGUUCUGGCCUGUCUUGGUUUCCCUUCCCCUGCCAAUCGAAGUCUUUAAUGACCUGUGCUGUUUUGUCAUGGGUCCUUCUGGGAACCUCUGCUGGAUACGUGUCUGCUAAAAUGUAUAAGAGCAAGCAUUACAACUCUUUAUUUUGCUGGUUAGGUAUCCAGUUCGCACAAACCAGAUUCCACGUCAGAUUCCUCAACAGAUUUUCUCUAGAAAAUGACUUUUGGCAUCAUAAUCAGUGGCAUUUUCCCUUUUGGCUGUAUUUUUAUUCAACUCUUUUUCCUUCUGAACAGUGUUUGGAACAGUCGGAUUUUUUUCCUGCUUCUGUUUUAUUAUCAAAAUCUACAGUGUGGUGAAAGUGGAUUAAAGAAUGUCCCCAGAGGCUUCCAGGCACAUCACCCUUGCUUUUGAAUAUACAUCUGUAUCUAUAUGAACAUCUAUAAAGAUACAUAUGUAUGCUUCCAAUUGCCUGUUUUUAAUAUAUAUCAAUUGGAAAA